GGGGUGUUAGCUCAGCUGGUAGAGCACCGGACUUUUAAUCCGAUGGUCAGGAGUUCGAUCCUCCUACACCCUACCA
rnacentral:tRNA from 1 species